UACAGAGGUCCCGAGCGUUGUUCGGAUUCACUGGGCGUAAAGGGUGCGUAGGUGGUCGGGUAAGUCUGAGGUGAAAUCUCCGAGCCCAACUCGGAAACUGCCUUGGAUACUAUUCGGCUAGAGGGUUGGAGGGGGGACUGGAAUUCUCGGUGUAGCAGUGAAAUGCGUAGAUAUCGAGAGGAACACCAGUGGCGAAGGCGGCUCUCUGGGCCUUACCUGACGCUGAGGAGCGAAAGCGUGGGUAGCGAACAGG
rnacentral:rRNA from 1 species